CCAGGUUGAUAGGCUCGAGGUGUAAGCACGGCAACGUGUGCAGCUGACGAGUACUAAUCGGUCGAGGGCUUAUCCUA
rnacentral:rRNA from 1 species